UCAACUUGAGAGUUUGAUCCUGGCUCAGAACGAACGCUGGCGGCAGGCUUAACACAUGCAAGUCGAGCGCCCCGCAAGGGGAGCGGCAGACGGGUGAGUAACGCGUGGGAAUCUACCGAACCCUACGGAAUAACGCAUGGAAACGUGUGCUAAUACCGUAUACGCCCUACGGGGGAAAGAUUUAUCGGGGUUUGAUGAGCCCGCGUUGGAUUAGCUAGUUGGUGGGGUAAAGGCCUACCAAGGCGACGAUCCAUAGCUGGUCUGAGAGGAUGAUCAGCCACAUUGGGACUGAGACACGGCCCAAACUCCUACGGGAG
rnacentral:rRNA from 1 species